AGAGUUUGAUCAUGGCUCAGAGCGAACGCUGGCGGCAGGCUUAACACAUGCAAGUCGAACGGACGCAGCAAUGCGUCAGUGGCAGACGGGUGAGUAACACGUGGGAACGUGCCCUUCGGUUUGGAACAACCCAGGGAAACUUGGGCUAAUACCGGAUACGUCCGCAAGGAGAAAGAUUUAUCGCCGAAGGAUCGGCCCGCGUCUGAUUAGCUUGUUGGUGAGGUAACGGCUCACCAAGGCGACGAUCAGUAGCUGGUCUGAGAGGAUGAUCAGCCACACUGGGACUGAGACACGGCCCAGACUCCUACGGGAGGCAGCAGUGGGGAAUAUUGGACAAUGGGCGCAAGCCUGAUCCAGCCAUGCCGCGUGGGUGAUGAAGGCCUUAGGGUUGUAAAGCCCUUUCGGCGGGGAAGAUAAUGACGGUACCCGCAGAAGAAGCCCCGGCUAACUUCGUGCCAGCAGCCGCGGUAAUACGAAGGGGGUUAGCGUUGCUCGGAAUCACUGGGCGUAAAGCGCACGUAGGCGGAUUGCUAAGUCAGGGGUGAAAUCCUGGAGCUCAACUCCAGAACUGCCCUUGAUACUGGCGACCUUGAGUCCGGGAGAGGUGAGUGGAACUGCGAGUGUAGAGGUGAAAUUCGUAGAUAUUCGCAAGAACACCAGUGGCGAAGGCGGCUCACUGGCCCGGUACUGACGCUGAGGUGCGAAAGCGUGGGGAGCAAACAGGAUUAGAUACCCUAGUAGUCC
rnacentral:rRNA from 1 species